CAAAGAAAGGAGGCGCAGCCCGUUCUCUAUUCUCUCCCCCUUCUGCGCCUCCUUCCUGCCCGACGGCCAUGGGCUGUCCCCCUGCCCACGGAGCUUCCACUGCAGACACGAUACUCCCCUGCAGGCAUACGCAGCUAUGGGCUGUCCCAGUGCCCUCCGGAGCUUCAUCUGCAGCCACGGUCCCCAGCACCAGCACUUUCCGUGACACCCACAGCGGCAGAGCUGAUCACUCCUUCUCAUAGGAUGCCAUGGCUGCGGGACCCGCGGAGGUGAUGGACGGAGUAGAGUGCACACUGAAAGAGCUGCUGAGGGGCCAGGACUCAGAGCGUCUGCAGGGAAAGGUGUCGGCGAAGCUGAGCCAGCUGGUGGUACUGGAGAGAGUAGCUGCCCACAGCCAAGGCCAAAGAGCAGGGUAUCUUUCUCCUGCUGUGCAGCUACAGGCAGCGUGGCUCUGGUAGUGUAUCCCACCACCGUGCACUGUUCCUGGGUGCUGACCCUCAGCGGCGGCGGUGCACUGUCCCUCAGCGGCGGCGGUGCACUGUCCCUCAGCGGCGGCGGCGGGCUGGAUCUGUGUGAAGUUCCUCCUCCACACGUGAGCAGAGCAGCAGCAGCAGGUGACUCCCCGUGAGCAGAGCAGCAGCAGCGGGACAUGUCGGGUGCGCGCAGCGGCGCGGUCAAUACAAUCAAUUAAAAAUGACAGGGGGGGCACGUGCCUUGGUGCCCCCCCCUAAAUCCGCCACUGCCUGGAGGACACAGCAGCCCCUUGAUGUAUGGAGAGAGCAUCCCCUAGAUGGACAGAGCACCCCUGGAGAAUACAGCAGUAUCUUGAUGGAUGAACAGAGUACCCCUAGAUGGACAGAGCAUGCCUGGAUGGACACAGCAACCCCUUGUCGGACACAGCAGCCCCUUAAUGGACAACACAGCAGCACCCCUGGUUGGGCAACACAGCACCCCUGGAUGCACACAGCACAGACACAGCUUCACUAUACAAGCUUUACAGCUGGAGUGAAAAUGGCACGAUCACUGGGUACCUUUUAUAGAAUCCAAAACCCGUGUGAGUGUGACACAGAAAGGAUGACUUUUUGCCUCGUUUUGGGAUCCAGGGCAGGUAGGAAAACCCGAGCCAGUCUCAGAUCACAAUGUUCGGAUGGGUCCUGUUCUCAGAGAACCAGAGCCGGCCAUGUCUAAUUGUAACCUUUUCUAUAUAACGGUUCCAUCUGACCCAUCUGAAUAAUAGCAUUCUUGGCAGCAUUAAAUUGUAUUCUACUACUUGCUUUUACAUGGGGGUCGUAAUUGGAUCCUGACAAUGUAAAAUAUGAUUUCUUUACAGAUAUCUGUGCUGAUAAAUGAUGGUCUCUGGAAUGGAGACAACAUUACUCUGUAUACCACACUCUGGAGACAUAACAUGAGUAUUUCAGUCAUUGAUAAAGAAGUAAGAACCUUCAAUUGAAUUUGUGUAUUAUUAAACACAAGCACUGGUGUCCUGGGAAUACUGUCUUUGAACCAGUUAGAUAUGAGAAGACUCAUCCUUCAACACACAUAGAACGUCAGGCUAAAUCCCAAGUUGCCAAAAUUGUGACUUAUUUUAAAGUGCUCAUGUGUGAAAGAAAUAGAUUUAUAAGAAUCUGAA